rnacentral:rRNA from 1 species
AACGAACGCUGGCGGCAGGCUUAGCACAUGCAAGUCGAGCGCCCCGCAAGGGGAGCGGCAGACGGGUGAGUAACGCGUGGGAAUCUACCGUACCCUACGGAAUAGCUCCGGGAAACUGGAAUUAAUACCGUAUACGCCCUACGGGGGAAAGAUUUAUCGGGGUAUGAUGAGCCCACGUUGGAUUAGCUAGUUGGUGGGGUAAAGGCCUACCAAGGCGACGAUCCAUAGCUGGUCUGAGAGGAUGAUCAGCCACAUUGGGACUGAGACACGGCCCAAACUCCUACGGGAGGCAGCAGUGGGGAAUAUUGGACAAUGGGCGCAAGCCUGAUCCAGCCAUGCCGUGUGAGUGAUGAAGGUCUUAGGAUUGUAAAGCUCUUUCACCGAUGAAGAUAAUGACGGUAGUCGGAGAAGAAGCCCCGGCUAACCUCGUGCCAGCCGCCGCCGUAAUAC